AGGGAUUUUAGGAGAGGAUAAAAUGCCUUAAAACGUCUCCCUCCUUCGAGUUCCGUCUGGAGAGGUGUUAUUUUGAAAUUCCACAACGCCAAGAACGACGACUACGCAACGGGCUUGAUUUCUCGCUCUCUCUUCUUCCUGCAUCGCUGAUCUCCAGAUUCCCACCACAUUGGAAUGGAUAAGAAGCAAAAGGGUAUGAAAAAGGAAGAUGAUGGAGGCAAAUACUUGCAUUGGAGAGCAAAUACCUGAUUUAGAAGAAGACCUUCGUUGGAGAGCAAUUGAAGUGUUUGCUAAAAAUGCGACAAAUUAUUUUAAAAAAAUUACUCAAACAAGUCAUUUAAAUAGUCCACUACUUAUGUCCCUUCAUUUUAAGAUCCCAUCACCUUGAAAUUUCUUGGAACCUCCAAAUCCCCUACCCAAACACUACCUAAGGAACUCCAACAGUGGGAGUGCCACAUCCAUAAACGUGGCUAAAAUAUUUUUUGAAUAAUUUGAUUGUUUUUCAUGUAUGCCGACAUGUUUUUGUAAAUUCAUUUAUUCUAAAUUUUUUAUAAAAUAAAGGGUUUUUGUCCAU